rnacentral:rRNA from 1 species
GCAUAUCAAUAAGCGGAGGAAAAGAAACCAACAGGGAUUACCUCAGUAACGGCGAGUGAAGCGGUAACAGCUCAAAUUUGAAAUCUGGCUCUUUCAGGGUCCGAGUUGUAAUUUGUAGACGAUGCUUUGGGUGUGGUGCCGGUCUAAGUUCCUUGGAACAGGACGUCAUAGAGGGUGAGAAUCCCGUAUGUGAUCGGUCGCUUUCGCCCGUGUAAAGCUCGUUCGACGAGUCGAGUUGUUUGGGAAUGCAGCUCAAAAUGGGUGGUAAAUUUCAUCUAAAGCUAAAUAUUGGCCAGAGACCGAUAGCGCACAAGUAGAGUGAUCGAAAGAUGAAAAGCACUUUGGAAAGAGAGUUAAACAGUACGUGAAAUUGUUGAAAGGGAAGCGCUUGCAACCAGACUUGGGCUGUCGCAAUCAUCUGGGGCUCGCCCCGGUGCACUUGUGGCGGCACAGGCCAGCAUCAGUUUCGGUGGUGGGAUAAAGGCCUUGGGAAUGUAGCUUCUUUCGGGGAGUGUUAUAGCCCUCGGUGCAAUGCCGCCUACCGGGACUGAGGACCGCGCUUCGGCUAGGAUGCUGGCGUAAUGGUUGUAAGCGACCCGUCUUGAAACACGGACC